rnacentral:rRNA from 1 species
GAUUAACGCUGGCGGCAUGCCUAAUACAUGCAAGUCGAACGGAAGCAGCAAUGCUUUAGUGGCGAACGGGUGAGUAACACGUAGGGAACCUACCUAUACGACGAGGAUAACUACUGGAAACGGUAGCUAAAACUGGAUAGGAUCAAUUGAGGCAUCUUGAUUGAUUUAAAGAUCCUUCGGGAUUACGUAGAGAUGGCCCUGCGGCGCAUUAGCUAGUUGGUGAGGUAACGGCCCACCAAGGCGACGAUGCGUAGCUGAGCUGAGAGGCUAAACAGCCACACUGGGACUGAGACACGGCCCAGACUCCAACGGGAGGCAGCAGUAGGGAAUUUUCGGCAAUGGGGGAAACCCUGACCGAGCAAUGCCGCGUGAACGAUGAAGGUCUUCGGAUUGUAAAGUUCUGUGAUUGGGGAAGAAUGGUAUUCUUAGGGAAUGAGGAGUACAUGACGGUACCCGAUUAGAAAGCCCCGGCUAACUAUGUGCCAGCAGCCGCGGUAA